rnacentral:rRNA from 1 species
UAGUAACGGCGAGUGAAGAGGGAAAAGCUCAAAUUUUGAAUCUGGUGUCUUUGACUCCCGAGUUGUAAUCUAGAGAAGUGUUUCCGCGUUGGACCGUGUACAAGUUCCCUGGAACGGGGCGUCAUAGAGGGUGAGAAUCCCGUAUAUGCCACGGACUACCAAUGCUCUGUGAUACACUCUCAACGAGUCGAGUUGUUUGGGAAUGCAGCUCAAAAUGGGUGGUAAAUUCCAUCUAAAGCUAAAUAUUGGCGAGAGACCGAUAGCGAACAAGUACCGUGAGGGAAAGAUGAAAAGCACUUUGGAAAGAGAGUGAAACAGUACGUGAAAUUGUUGAAAGGGAAGCGUUUGAAGUCAGUCACGUCUGUCGGAAUUCAGCCUGGCUUCUGCCUGGUGUACUUUCCGUCCGACGGGUCAGCAUCAAUUUCGACCGAGGGAAAAAGACGUGAGGAAUGUGGCUGUCUUCGGGCAGUGUUAUAGCCUCGGGUUGUAUGUCUCGGUUGGGAUUGAGGAACGCAGCGCGCCUAUUGGCCGGGGGUUCGCGCCCCUCGGUACGCGCUUAGGA